AGCGGCCCGAGGCCUGGCCACGUCCGCACCCGGGGGAGGGGGCCGCGGCGGCCCAGGCAGGGGGCCCGGCGCCGCCUGCUCGAGCCGGGGAGCCCUCGGGGCUGCGGUUGCAGGAACCUUCCCUCUACACCAUCAAGGCUGUUUUCAUCCUAGAUAAUGACGGGCGCCGGCUGCUGGCCAAGUGUGAUUCUGGAGAGUGACCCCCAGCAAGUGAUCCAGAAGGUGAAUUUUAGGGUUCUUCAGUCUGCCAAGGAACAAAUUAAAUGGUCGUUAUUGAAAUGAAGGCUGUGGAUUCAAGGCUCCCUGCCCCCCAGACCAUUUCCCCAAUCCUGGCAAAAGCCCAAAGAUCCCAGGGUCAGGAGAGACCCCUCUGUAUCCCCAGGUCCCUCCCAGAACUGACUCCUAAGGUCUCCAGCCAGGGCUUCUGAGAUGCAAAGGUUUGGCCUCAGGAGAGUCACCUUUUCUCACGGCCCUGGCCUUAACUCAUAUCUUAGGCAUUCCUGGCCCCAGGGCCCUAAUAAACCUGCU
rnacentral:sRNA from 1 species